UCUGGCGGCAGUAGCGCGGUGGUCCCACCUGACCCCAUGCCGAACUCAGAAGUGAAACGCCGUAG
rnacentral:rRNA from 12 species